rnacentral:rRNA from 1 species
AUUGAACGCUGGCGGCAGGCCUAACACAUGCAAGUCGAACGGCAGCACGGGAGCAAUCCUGGUGGCGAGUGGCGAACGGGUGAGUAAUAUAUCGGAACGUGCCCGGUCGUGGGGGAUAACGUAGCGAAAGCUACGCUAAUACCGCAUACGAUCUACGGAUGAAAGCGGGGGAUCGCAAGACCUCGCGCGAUUGGAGCGGCCGAUAUCAGAUUAGGUAGUUGGUGGGGUAAAGGCUCACCAAGCCAACGAUCUGUAGCUGGUCUGAGAGGACGACCAGCCACACUGGAACUGAGACACGGUCCAGACUCCUACGGGAGGCAGCAGUGGGGAAUUUUGGACAAUGGACGCAAGUCUGAUCCAGCCAUUCCGCGUGCAGGAUGAAGGCCCUCGGGUUGUAAACUGCUUUUGUACGGAACGAAACGGUGAGCUCUAAUACAGUUUGCUAAUGACGGUACCGUAAGAAUAAGCACCGGCUAACUACGUAGCCAGCAGCC